GGGUGGGGCAUGAUCAGGAGGACGUGGGCCUGGGACACUGGACCGUGGGGAUUAGAGGUUUCGUGGAAAGAAGCUGCAGUUCCUGUUCAGAGGCAUAAGUCCCUGCCGGAAAUGGUCUUGGGAAAGACUGGUUGAGUGUGGCAAGAGCUGGCAAACCUGGGAUUUCAUGGAGGGAAGGAGGAUCUUCAGCCUUUCCUGAGGGCCGGCAACCCGGAGCCCUCCAUCUCGUAACACCUGGACCAGCGGGUCCCCCAGAUGGUGCUGAGGGCAUGCAUCCCAGGCAGAGGGACUGCUCCGAGCCGUCUGGGAUGCUUCUCAGCCUCGAGAUCCGGCUCGGACAAAGGAUGUACUCAACCAUAACGCCCAUGGGACCAAAGGCAAGGCGGCAGGUGGAAGCAGAGCUGCAAAGAUAGCAGUCGUUGGAGGAGCACGGAAAGACCUCACAUAAAAGCGAUGGAGCUGGCUGACAAGUCUGAGGACAACUGACGCUUUUGAAGGAAGAAACAGCAAUUUCAGAAAAUGAAUCCUGUGGUUUAGAAAGAAAUCAACUGAACUGAAAUAAAGAAAGAAAAGAAAAGAAAAAAAUUGUUCUCAUCACAAAGAAAACAAUUUCCUUAGGCCUAGAGAAUUAUAGUCUAUUUAUGAAGGCUUCAACCCUCUGAGAUAUCUAGAUUUUGAGUGUCAAAAGGAACCUUUAAAGAUAGCUUUUUCAUCUGAGUCCUGAAUUUUACAGAAAGGAAACUGAGGCUCUGAGAGAGUUUGGGACCAUAUAACUAGUUAGUGGAAGCUGACUCCCAGUUUUCCUGCCUUUAUUUUACUCCUUUUUACUUUUGCUCUUUAAAUGACAGGGUAUUCAUAGGCCAUUGGGAAGAAAAAAAACAAGACAGCUUGUGCUUCUGCAAGAAAGGUCAGUGAGAGCUCCGAAACUUCUAGAAAGAGGAGAGUCAAAUUAUUUAAUCUAAUUCCAGGAAUAGUCUUGAUCUUAUUAGCUGAGGGACUGAAUAAGGAGGCAAAGGCCUUACAAAGCAAGAUUUAUUACUACUUUCCAUAAAAGCACAGGGAAAAUGAAUAUUGGCUUAAUGGGGAUUUGGGUCUAUAAUUUGAUUCUUUGCCUCAGCUUAGAGAAACAACCCACAGACAAAAGGUCAGUGGAUCCUAGUAGUGAUCUCCUGAGCCAGUGACGAAAGGGAUCACCUGCCAUUUCUCCAGGGACCCCUAGGAUCAGAAAUCACCUCUGUGGUAUGGAAACCUAGAAAGGAAGAAAUCCAGUGGACUCUUACUGGCCUGGAAAGUGUGUUAAAAGUGCCAGUGCUUCUUCACCUGACCCUUGAAGCAACUGAUAAGAUUUUCUUAGUGAGAAAAUUUCUAGCAAGGAUGUGGCCAAUGGUACUCAUAUUAGUUCCCAGGGGAAGAAUUUGGAGGCGAAAUGGAAAAAAGAAAGAGGGCUGGGAUGUGUCAAUUCAAUAAGCACUUACUGGAUGCUAACUAUGUAGCAGACACCAAGAGAUAAAUAAAACCUCUCUGUCCCUGGAAGCACUUGCAGAUGAGUAGGAACUAGCAACUACAGAGGAAAUUUUUCCCAGGAUUCAGACACCACUAUGCAAAACUGUCCGGCAUCCCAGCAGCUCAUUUCCAUUCUGAGACCUUGUUCUGUUACAAUUAUUGGGCAGCACAGUUCACUCUCUGGGCUACAAAACUCACCAGAUAAUUAGCAUCUCACAGAUGUUAACCCAGCAGCUGGGUGCUGCAUGAGGCACACACAGCCAGCCAAAAUCUCAGGAUGCUUGAAAGGAAAAAGAGAAAUUCAGAUGUCAUUGGUGCAAACAGGCAGCAGGCCCUGUCCCAGCCCAGCUCAGAAAUUCAGUUCUUGAUGGCAGCCUCACUCUAUCAAGACUUCAGUUAUUGGGACUUCCCUGGUGGUGCAGUGGUUAAGAAUCUGCCUGCCAAUGCAGAGGACAGGAGUUCGAGCCCUGGUCCAGGAAGAUCCCACAUGCCGCAGAGCAACUAAGCCCAUGUGCCACAACUACUGAGCCUGCGCUCUAGAGCCCGCGAGCCACAACUACUGAGCCUGAGCGCCACAACUACUGAAGCCCGCGCACCCUAGAACCUGUGCUCCACAAGAAGAGAAGCCAUCGCGAUGAGAAGCCUGCGUGCUGCAACGAAGAGUAGCCCCUGCUCGCCACAAUUAGAGAAAGCCCACGCAACAAAGACCCAA